GAACCGUGCAAACGUUAUUCGGAAUCACUGGGCUUAAAGGGCGCGUAGGCGGGUCGGAUAGUCUGCGGUGAAAUACUUCAGCUUAACUGGAGAACUGCCGUGGAUACUCCCGAUCUCGAGGAGGGUAGGGGCAUCUGGAACAGCCGGUGGAGCGGUGAAAUGCGUUGAUAUCGGCUGGAACUCCGGUGGCGAAGGCGAGAUGCUGGACCCUUUCUGACGCUGAGACGCGAAAGCCAGGGGAGCGAACGGGAUUAGAUACCCCGGUAGUCCUGGCCCUAAACGAUGAGAACUGGAUAGCGAUCCUGAUAUAGGACCGCUGUCGGAGCAAAAGUGUUAAGUUCUCCGCCUGGGGAGUAUGGUCGCAAGGCUG
rnacentral:rRNA from 1 species